rnacentral:lncRNA from 1 species
UCAGGGUCCGAUUCGUUGCUGCAAAGAUUCCAUUUAGGUGUAGUAUUUAUAGUCGCACGUAAUGCGCGCUUGCACAUGAGACCGAGAAUAUAUUGUGCAAACCAGGGCGUGUGAGAACAUCCGUGUUUUCCGUUCGAGCUUUCGUUGCGAAAGUUCUACAUCAGCUGCGCGCACGUUUACGUUUUCCAAAUGUCUGCACGGGGUCGCGACGUUACGGCUCAAGGAUAAUCGGAUCGGGCCACAUAAUUUCCCCGUAAUUUUUGCAACCUCGCUGAAAACUGCAGCAAUCGCUUACUGCACAGUGCGCGUAGCCACUGAUCCGGAACUAAGAGAAACGCGACUCGCAACAAAACGUCGGUACUCUUGUUUUAAUUGACCAAGGUCGAUGGAAGGCUGUUAACGUUAUAGCAGGCCGUCGUUCGCACGCUGAAUCGCAAUAUCUAUUUCGGUUUUUACACGUAUCCGAGAAGUUGUCUAAUUGUCAUCGGACUAUGUGACGUUGCUGCGUAACGAUACUCAACCAGUGUAUCUUGAGAGCGGUGAAUUCCGCACACGCCUCACAUUACGCUCGAUAAAUUUUCAAACUUUCCUGUAUACGUUACGAUAAAUACAAGUUGCAGAGAGGGUUUUACGGGGAUGCCCUAGUCGAUUUCGACGUUGACAUUUGUAUCUUCAAAUAUGAAAGUCUGCGUAUUUCGACAGCGAAAAAGGACUCAACAGCCC